rfam:Schistosoma mattheei strain Denwood, Zambia genome assembly, scaffold: SMTD_scaffold0009234
AGCCUUCUGUAUCCGUACUGAGACUUCGUCACACACCAGACCACAAGGGCUGAUGAGACUUCCAAGAUAAGUGAAGCG